rnacentral:rRNA from 1 species
AGUGAACGCUGGCGGUAGGCCUAACACAUGCAAGUCGAACGGCAGCACCGUAAGAGCUUGCUCUUACGGGUGGCGAGUGGCGGACGGGUGAGGAAUACAUCGGAAUCUACUUUUUCGUGGGGGAUAACGUAGGGAAACUUACGCUAAUACCGCAUACGACCUACGGGUGAAAGCAGGGGAUCUUCGGACCUUGCGCGAUUGAAUGAGCCGAUGUCGGAUUAGCUAGUUGGCGGGGUAAAGGCCCACCAAGGCGACGAUCCGUAGCUGGUCUGAGAGGAGGAUAAGCCACACUGGAACUGGAACACGGUCCAGACUCCUACGGGAGGCAGCAGUGGGGAAUAUUGGACAAUGGGCGCAAGCCUGGUCCAGCCAUACCGCGUGGGUGAAGAAGGCCUUCGGGUUGUAAAGCCCUUUUGUUGGGAAAGAAAAGCAGCAGGUUAAUACCCCGCUGUUCUGACGGUACCCAAAGAAUAAGCACCGGCUAACUUCGUG